rnacentral:misc_RNA from 1 species
AUGUAACCGGACCGGUCCUCUGCCGUUAAACGCAGCGGAUGGGAAUGGGAGAUAUCAUACACCCCUAUGUUUAUUUACUUUUGUUGCUUUGGCGGGCCGUCCUUUUAGGCGUCGGCCCCGGCUGAUCGCGCCCGCCAGAGGACCCCAAACUCUGAAUGUUAGUGUCGUCUGAGUACUAUAUAAUAGUUA